rfam:Aedes albopictus isolate Foshan contig52338, whole genome shotgun sequence.
UGCCCAGCAACUCUUAUCCCUACCUCCACGCGGUACCGGCCGGAAACUAUGAGCAACCUUAGGGAAGAUCGGGUAACCAACCCCGGUGGGAACUUUGGUCGUAGGCUGACAGGGAAGG